rnacentral:rRNA from 1 species
AGAGUUUGAUCCUGGCUCAGGAUGAACGCUAGCUACAGGCUUAACACAUGCAAGUCGAGGGGCAGCAUGGUCUUAGCUUGCUAAGGCCGAUGGCGACCGGCGCACGGGUGAGUAACACGUAUCCAACCUGCCGUCUACUCUUGGACAGCCUUCUGAAAGGAAGAUUAAUACAAGAUGGCAUCAUGAGUCCGCAUGUUCACAUGAUUAAAGGUAUUCCGGUAGACGAUGGGGAUGCGUUCCAUUAGAUAGUAGGCGGGGUAACGGCCCACCUAGUCUUCGAUGGAUAGGGGUUCUGAGAGGAAGGUCCCCCACAUUGGAACUGAGACACGGUCCAAACUCCUACGGGAGGCAGCAGUGAGGAAUAUUGGUCAAUGGACGAGAGUCUGAACCAGCCAAGUAGCGUGAAGGAUGACUGCCCUAUGGGUUGUAAACUUCUUUUAUAAAGGAAUAAAGUCGGGUAUGCAUACCCGUUUGCAUGUACUUUAUGAAUAAGGAUCGGCUAACUCCGUGCCAGCAGCCGCGGUAAUACGGAGGAUCCGAGCGUUAUCCGGAUUUAUUGGGUUUAAAGGGAGCGUAGGCGGGUUGUUAAGUCAGUUGUGAAAGUUUGCGGCUCAACCGUAAAAUUGCAGUUGAUACUGGCGACCUUGAGUGCAACAGAGGUAGGCGGAAUUCGUGGUGUAGCGGUGAAAUGCUUAGAUAUCACGAAGAACUCCGAUUGCGAAGGCAGCCUGCUAAGCUGCAACUGACAUUGAGGCUCGAAAGUGUGGGUAUCAAACAGGAUUAGAUACCCUGGUAGUCCACACGGUAAACGAUGAAUACUCGCUGUUUGCGAUAUACGGCAAGCGGCCAAGCGAAAGCGUUAAGUAUUCCACCUGGGGAGUACGCCGGCAACGGUGAAACUCAAAGGAAUUGACGGGGGCCC